CCCCUAGUAACUGCGAGUGAAGCGGGAAAAGCUCAAAUUUAAAAUCUGGCAGGCUCUGCUUGUCCGAGUUGUAAUCUGGAGAAGCGUUUUCCGCGCCGGACCGUGUACAAGUCUCUUGGAAUGGAGCGUCAUAGAGGGUGAGAAUCCCGUCCAUGACACGGACCGCCCGGUGCUUUGUGAUACGCUCUCGAAGAGUCGAGUUGUUUGGGAAUGCAGCUCAAAAUGGGUGGUAAAUUCCAUCUAAAGCUAAAUAUUGGCGAGAGACCGAUAGCGAACAAGUACCGUGAGGGAAAGAUGAAAAGCACUUUGGAAAGAGAGUUAAACAGUACGUGAAAUUGUUGAAAGGGAAACGCUUGAAGUCAGUCGCGUCUUGCGGAGCUCAGCCUUGCUUUUGCUUGGUUUACUCUCCGUUUGACGGGUCAGCAUCAAUUUUGAUCGGUGGAGAAGGGCUUGGGGAAUGUGGCGUCGUUUCGGCGACGUGUUAUAGCCCCAGGUCGUAUGCAUCGGUUGGGAUUGAGGACUGCAGCACGCCCUUGUGGCCGGGGGUUCGCCCUACGUUCUGUGCUUAGGAUGCUGGCAAAAUGGCUUUAAGCGACCCGUCUUGAAACACGGACCAAGGAGUCUAACAUGUCUGCGAGUGUUCGGGUGGAAAACCCUUGCGCGUAAUGAAAGUGAAAGUUGGGAACCUCCGCAAGGGGGUGCACCGACGCCCGGCCCUGAAGUUUACGGACGGUGCUGCGGUAGAGCAUAUAUGUUGGGACCCGAAAGAUGGUGAACUAUGCCUGAAUAGGGUGAAGCCAGAGGAAACUCUGGUGGAGGCUCGUAGCGAUUCUGACGUGCAAAUCGAUCGUCAAAUUUGGGUAUAGGGGCGAGAAGACUAAUCUAUCCAUCUAGUCCCUUGUUGCCUGC
rnacentral:rRNA from 2 species